rnacentral:lncRNA from 1 species
AGGUUUGACAUUUGCCUUGUACCCAUAAGCUUCCUCCAUUUCACAAAAAUAGGGGCUCUAUUUUACAUCAUUCCCACUUUUUUGGUUGUGAUCAACAGUGUCACGAAAUAUUUUUGUUAAGUUUUUCCACUUUUGUUCACAUUGCUGGAAAGUAAAUGUACUGAGCUGCUUCGUCAUGUUCGUCUGCACUUCUUCCGCCAUAUUCUUUUUCGAAACCAAACUACUAAACCGCCCCGAGAGCGGUUUGAUAAGUUUCCGAAACUGGUUUUCGUUUUGUCUCAAUAAACAAUCAAACCAGUUUCAGUUUUAAACCAGGUUCUAAACUGGUUUGUCAAAACAAAUGAAAAGUUUUGAAAACUGUUGCAAAACUUAAACCAGUUUGCUAGCAAUAAAU